rnacentral:rRNA from 1 species
GACGAACGCUGGCGGCGUGCUUAACACAUGCAAGUCGAACGGAAAGGCCCUGCUUUUGUGGGGUGCUCGAGUGGCGAACGGGUGAGUAACGCGUGAGUAACCUGCCCUUGACUUUGGGAUAACUUCAGGAAACUGGGGCUAAUACCGGAUAGGAGCUCCUGCUGCAUGGUGGGGGUUGGAAAAUUUCGGCGGUUGGGGAUGGACUCGCGGCUUAUCAGCUUGUUGGUGGGGUAGUGGCUUACCAAGGCUUUGACGGGUAGCCGGCCUGAGAGGGUGACCGGCCACAUUGGGACUGAGAUACGGCCCAGACUCCUACGGGAGGCAGCAGUGGGGAAUAUUGCACAAUGGGCGGAAGCCUGAUGCAGCAACGCCGCGUGCGGGAUGACGGCCUUCGGGUUGUAAACCGCUUUCGCCUGUGACGAAGCGUGAGUGACGGUAAUGGGUAAAGAAGCACCGGCUAACUACGUGC